UACGUAGGGUGCAAGCGUUGUCCGGAAUUAUUGGGCGUAAAGAGCUUGUAGGCGGUUUGUCGCGUCUGCUGUGAAAUUUCGGGGCUCAACCCCGAACUUGCAGUGGGUACGGGCAGACUAGAGUGUGGUAGGGGAGACUGGAAUUCCUGGUGUAGCGGUGAAAUGCGCAGAUAUCAGGAGGAACACCGAUGGCGAAGGCAGGUCUCUGGGCCACUACUGACACUGAGGUGCGAAAGCGUGGGGAGCAAACAGG
rnacentral:rRNA from 1 species